CUUCCCGCGUCCGCCGAUUCCUCCUCCUUGGUCGCCGCGUCCUUGGCUGGCGUCAGAAAAAUGGCUACAAACUUCCUAGCUCAUGAGAAGAUCUGGUUCGACAAGUUCAAAUAUGACGACGCAGAAAGGAGAUUCUACGAGCAGAUGAACGGGCCUGUGGCAGGUGCCUCCCGCCAGGAGAACGGCGCCAGCGUGAUCCUCCGUGACAUUGCGAGAGCCAGAGAGAACAUCCAGAAAUCCCUGGCUGGAAGCUCAGGCCCCGGGGCCUCCAGCGGCACCAGCGGAGACCACAGUGAGCUCGUCGUCCGGAUUGCCAGUCUGGAAGUGGAGAACCAGAGUCUGCGUGGCGGUGAGACCCCGGGCCAGUGGGUUGGGGCUGUCCCUGGCCCCUGCCAUCUAACCGUGCUCCCCUUGCCCCCCCAGUGGUACAGGAGCUGCAGCAGGCCAUCUCCAAGCUGGAGGCCCGGCUGAACGUGCUGGAGAAGAGCUCGCCUGGCCACCGGGCCACGGCCCCACAGACUCAGCACGUAUCUCCCAUGCGCCAAGUGGAGCCCCCAGCCAAGAAGCCAGCCACACCAGCAGAGGAUGACGAGGAUGAUGACAUUGACCUGUUUGGCAGUGACAAUGAGGAGGAGGACAAGGAGGCGGCACAGCUGCGGGAGGAGCGGCUACGGCAGUACGCGGAGAA
rnacentral:sRNA from 1 species